UUUUUAACUUUGUGAGUACCCAUUCCCCUACUCAUCGAUUGUUGAAAAAAGGGCUUCAGAAAAACGAUAAGUAAAAUAUAGAAAACUACAGAAAGGACAUAUUUAGCUUCAAUAUAAAGGGAAGCACUUUUAUCGAAGCUCGGUGGAUCGUCAUCAUCAUUGUCAACUUUUAAAUUGUCAGACCAACAUUUUCCAGUUAAUGUAUUUUUGACCAUGCAUGUUGAUUGUUGUUUUGCCUUUAAUUUCAGGUGGAAGAUACAUUAUAGAAGCGUUAUGAUAUGUAAAACACUUUAACAGAGAAAAAUAUAAUUCAAAGGUGUUAGAUCUAAUUUAAUGAUGCAAAUAAUAUAUAUGUGCAGGAAAUCAAUCAGAGAAGAUCAAGGAAUCAAGGAGCUACUACGAGAUUGGUGAAGUCACUUUAGAGGCUUAAGGAAAGAAAUCAAUCAUCAAAGAUUACAAAUCAAUCAGCAAAGAUCAUGUGCAACUGCGAUGGAAAGAAUCUUUGCAAACCUAAACUUAAGGCAAAAAUCAAGGCUAGCACAUUCAAUCUCGAUUCUGUAAGAAGAUUAGGUGAGAUACACAUAUGUUGCAUAGAAUGUUUUCAAUUCAUCACCCAGAUAAUGAAAUGUUUUUAGUUGUACAGAAUUACUAUUUUCCUUUCAUUACAAAGGUUUAAGUUUGAAUAAUAUUCUAAUGCCAAAUUGAUAUAUUGCAGAGAAUGUGUACCAAAAAUUUGC
rnacentral:lncRNA from 1 species